AUGGAAAAUGGAAGUUGUCGGUAUCAUUAUCCUCGACAUUUCGCAGAGACCACACAACAAGGAGAGGACUCUUAUCCAAUUUAUAGGCACAGGAAUGACGGCCGUCGAGUGCGCAUCAGGGGUGCAGUUUUGGAUAAUAGAUGGGUUGUCCCAUACAAUCCCUAUUUACUUAUUCGAUACAAUUGCCAUAUAAAUAUUGAAGUUUGCUCUAGCAUCAAGGCUGUGAAAUAUUUAUUCAAAUACAUCUACAAAGGUCAUGAUCGUGCCUCCAUUGUCAUCGAAGCCGCAGAAGAUGAUGUAGUUAUUAAUGAAAUUCGUGAGUAUAGAGAUGCAAGGUUUAUUUCACCUCCGGAAGCAAUCUGGAGGAUUUACUCUUUCAACCUUAGUGAGAUGUAUCCAUCAGUUAUACAGCUACAAGUCCAUCUGCCAAAUAUGCACCUUGUUCACUAUAAAGAUUCAGAAAAAUUAGAGGAUGUGGUCUGCAAAGGAUCGUCUUCGAGAACAAUGCUAACUGAAUACUUCAGAAUGAACUCUAUUGAUAGUUAUGCCAGGAAUUUCUUAUACAAGGAAUUUCCAGAAUUUUUUGUAUGGAAUAAUAGUACCAAGGGCUGA
rnacentral:rRNA from 1 species